ensembl:misc_RNA Metazoa_SRP Metazoan signal recognition particle RNA
GCUGGGCGUGGUGGUGCACGCCUGUAAUCCCAGCUACUCAGGAGGCUGAGGCAGGAGAAUUGCUUGAACCCGGGAGGCGGAGGUUGCAGUGAGCUGAGAUUAUGCCACUGCACUCCAGCCUGCGCAACACAGCGAGACUCUGUCUCAA